rnacentral:tRNA from 1 species
CGGCACGUAGCGCACCGUCAUGGGGUGUCGGGGGUCGGAGGUUCAAAUCCUCUCGUGCCGACCA